CAUCAUCGACGACAAUACUAUCUUCUUCAAUCUUCAUUCACCAGAAUUCAAUACAUUCUAAUCGACGGUAAUCUCUUUGCUCUGACGUUCAUUUCAUAUACUUUAUCAGCAUUUUACUUAAUCUGUAUUUGUUCAUCUUCUUAUGUUAAAUUUGAUGUCAAAAUCGUCGAUCCCUAAUGUCAAAAUCUCUCAAACAUGAAAACAACUGGAUUCCUUCUGGCCGUCACGCACCAUCAGUCCCUCCGGCAAAUUUUCAGGUAAGGUCAUUUGUUAGCAUAUAACACCAAUUUCUUUAGUUUUGAGUUCAAUUAUGUUGUGGAAGGUCGCCGGUCUUUGGAUAUGUGUCGUCUUCGUCUGCUUCCCCCAUUUAUCUGUGUUUUAGGGUUUUUGUGAAUGGUGGCGGCGAUGGUCUCCGAUGUUUUCAGGUUAAGCGAUUUUAGGGCUUUUAUGCUUAACUAUUUUGUAACGUUCCUAAGUUGGUUUCUAUGUUUUUAGGGUUUUUAUUUGUUAGGGUUUUAGUCUAGGAUUUGAUGAUCGAUUCAUGUAUGCUUCGAUUUGAUAGGGUUUUAAUCCACGAUUUGAUAUUGUUUUAUUAUUUCUGCUUUGAUUUUCAUAUUUUUUGUUUUUUGUAGUUUGAUUCGUUUGUAGAAAAAAAACCCGAUUUAGGUCAUAGGUUUUAUAUUUUCACUAAUUGGUGUUGAUUCUAUUAUAGAAUAGUCUGAUUAUAGGUGUUUUGGUGCUAGACAACCGGUGGUUUUGGUGCUAGAAAACCGAUGGUGAUUUGUGUUCUUGAUGGAAUGGUGUGGGUGGGUCUGGGGAGAAGUUCGCUGGUGGAUUAUCGAACUCUUCACAUCAGCGGUUUAACAUUCUAUGCAGUGCAGAUAAAGACGGUGUUAUAAGCUUCAGUAUAUUUGGCAUAUUCCCGAUUGGGAAAAAUUGAUAUUCAUGUUGACUGCAAAUUGCUGAAUGCUUCAAUUUGUAAGGUAACAGUGUCGUGGAGGUUAAAAAGAUUCUUCACUUUGGUUCCUUAAACAAUGUCAUGAUGUCUGUGUUUGGAAGGUUGUAUGAUUUUGGUAAAAAUGGGGGUGAGGGGUUGGAAGAAGAAAAACAAGAGGCUGUUUGUUCUCAGAGG